UACGUAGGGUGCGAGCGUUGUCCGGAAUUAUUGGGUGUAAAGAGCUCGUAGGCGGUCUGUCGCGUCGGUCGUGAAAACUUGGGGCUUAACCCUGAGCUUGCGGUCGAUACGGGCAUGACUGGAGUUCGGCAGGGGAGACUGGAAUUCCUGGUGUAGCGGUGAAAUGCGCAGAUAUCAGGAGGAACACCGGUGGCGAAGGCGGGUCUCUGGGCCGAUACUGACGCUGAGGAGCGAAAGCGUGGGGAGCGAACAGG
rnacentral:rRNA from 1 species